UAGUAACGGCGAGUGAACCGGGAAAAGCUCAAAUUUGAAAUCUGCCAACAGGCCGAGUUGUAAUUUGUAGAUGGCUACACUGCAUAAUAGUAGAUGCUCAAGUUCUUUGGAAAAAGACAUCAUGGAGGGUGACAAUCCCGUGAGGCAUGUUACUAGGAGCAUAUAGUGGGCUUUCUAAGAGUCGAGUUGUUUGGGAAUGCAGCUCAAAGUGCGUGGUGAAUACCAUGUAAAGCUAAAUAUGGACGAGAGACCGAUAGCGAACAAGUACUGUGAAGGAAAGAUGAAAAGCACUCCGAAAGGAGAGUGAAAUAGUACGUGAAAUUGUUAAAGUGGAAGGGCUUGAGAUCAGAAUUGGUAGUUUGGGUUCCACGUCCUCUUGGGGGCGUGUACUCCCUUUCCACCGGGCCAGCGGGAGUUUCGUCUCUUGGGUAAAAGCAGUGGAAUGUAGCAGCUUGUCUGUAUUAUAGCCUCUGUUCAUACAAGACGUCGAGACUUGUUUUUGUUGGCGUAAUGAUCUCUAGCCACCCGUCUUGAAACACGGACC
rnacentral:rRNA from 1 species